rnacentral:rRNA from 1 species
GAUGAACGCUGGCGGCGUGCCUAAUACAUGCAAGUCGAGCGAACAGAUACGGAGCUUGCUCCUUUGACGUUAGCGGCGGACGGGUGAGUAACACGUGGGUAACCUACCUAUAAGACUGGAAUAACUCCGGGAAACCGGGGCUAAUGCCGGAUAACAUUUAGAACCGCAUGGUUCUAAAGUGAAAGAUGGUUUUGCUAUCACUUAUAGAUGGACCCGCGCCGUAUUAGCUAGUUGGUAAGGUAACGGCUUACCAAGGCAACGAUACGUAGCCGACCUGAGAGGGUGAUCGGCCACACUGGAACUGAGACACGGUCCAGACUCCUACGGGAGGCAGCAGUAGGGAAUCUUCCGCAAUGGGCGAAAGCCUGACGGAGCAACGCCGCGUGAGUGAUGAAGGUCUUCGGAUCGUAAAACUCUGUUAUUAGGGAAGAACAAAUGUGUAAGUAACUAUGCACGUCUUGACGGUACCUAAUCAGAAAGCCACGGCUAACUACGUG